rnacentral:rRNA from 1 species
GAGGCAGCAGUGAGGAAUAUUGGACAAUGGAUGGAAAUCUGAUCCAGCCAUGCCGCGUGCAGGAAGACGGUCCUAUGGAUUGUAAACUGCUUUAGCAUGGGAGCAAUAAGGUGUACGCGUACACCGAUGAGAGUACCAUGAGAAUAAGCACCGGCUAACUCCGUGCCAGCAGCCGCGGUAAUACGGAGGGUGCAAGCGUUA